GCCUUUGUGGUGUAGUGGUCAGCAUGCUCAACGCGUAUUCAAGAGGUUCAUGGUUCGAGUCCCGACGAGGGCA
rfam:Stegodyphus mimosarum contig33465, whole genome shotgun sequence.